rnacentral:rRNA from 1 species
GACGAACGCUGGCGGCGUGCUUAACACAUGCAAGUCGAACGGAAAGGCCCUGCUUUUGUGGGGUGCUCGAGUGGCGAACGGGUGUGUAACACGGGAGUAACCUGCCCUUGACUUUGGGAUAACUUCAGGAAACUGGGGCUAAUACCGGAUAGCAGCUCCUGCUGCAUGGUGGGGGUUGGAAAGUUUCGGCGGUUGGGGAUGGACUCGCGGCUUAUCAGCUUGUUGGUGGGGUAGUGGCUUACCAAGGCUUUGACGGGUAGCCGGCCUGAGAGGGUGACCGGCCACAUUGGGACUGAGAUACGGCCCAGACUCCUACGGGAGGCAGCAGUGGGGAAUAUUGCACAAUGGGCGGAAGCCUGAUGCAGCAACGCCGCGUGCGGGAUGACGGCCUUCGGGUUGUAAACCGCUUUCGCCUGUGACGAAGCGUGAGUGACGGUAAUGGGUAAAGAAGCACCGGCUAACUACGUG